CCUACGGGAGGCAGCAGUGGGGAAUAUUGGACAAUGGGCGAAAGCCUGAUCCAGCCAUGCCGCGUGUGUGAAGAAGGCCUUCGGGUUGUAAAGCACUUUCAGUGGGGAAGAAAGCCUUGGGGCUAAUACCCUCGAGGAAGGACAUCACCCACAGAAGAAGCACCGGCUAACUCCGUGCCAGCAGCCGCGGUAAUACGGAGGGUGCGAGCGUUAAUCGGAAUUACUGGGCGUAAAGCGCGCGUAGGCGGUCUGAUAAGCCGGUUGUGAAAGCCCCGGGCUCAACCUGGGAACGGCAUCCGGAACUGUCAGGCUAGAGUGCAGGAGAGGUAGGUAGAAUUCCCGGUGUAGCGGUGAAAUGCGUAGAGAUCGGGAGGAAUACCAGUGGCGAAGGCGGCCUUCUGGACUGACACUGACGCUGAGGUGCGAAAGCGUGGGUAGCAAACAGGAUUAGAUACCCGUGUAGUC
rnacentral:rRNA from 1 species